AGGUGUCCCUUCUCCUCCAGCAGCGUGGCCACCUGCGGCGCCCAGGUGUGCAGGAUUCCCUCCCAAGUGUGCAGAAUACCUCCCAGGUGUGCAGGAUUCCCUCCCAGGUGUGCAGCAUCCCUCCCAGGUGUGCAGGAUUCCCUCCCAGGUGUGCAGGAUCCCUCCCAGGUGUGCAGGAUUCCCUCCCAGGUGUGCACGGAGAGGCACAGGUGUGCAGGAUUCCCUCCCAGGUGUGCAGGAUUCCCUCCCAGCUGUGCAGAAUCCCUCCCAGGUGUGCAGCAUCCCUCCCAGGUGUGCAGGAUUCCCUCCCAGGUGUGCAGCAUCCCUCCCAGGUGUGCAGGAUUCCCUCCCAGGUGUGCAGGAUCCCCUCCCAGGUGCUGCCACCUCUCCCACGAGCUGGCAGAGAACCCCCUCCCCCUCGCCCUCAGGUGGAAAUCGGGGGGCACCCAGGAUUUGGGCUCCCCCCC